GAUGAACGCUAGCGGAAGGCUUAAUACAUGCAAGUCGAGCGGUAGGUGGCUUCGGCCAUUGAGAGCGGCGCACGGGUGAGUAACGCGUACAUGACCUGCCUGUCAGAAGGGGAUAGCCCUGGGAAACUGGGAUUAAUACCCUAUGGUAUUGAUAUUAUGAAUGAUAUCAAUUAAAGUUGAGGCGCUGACAGAUGGAUGUGCGUCUGAUUAGCUAGUUGGUAGGGUAACGGCCUACCAAGGCGACGAUCAGUAGGGGGCGUGAGAGCGUGGUCCCCCACACGGGUACUGAGACACGGACCCGACUCCUACGGGAGGCAGCAGUAAGGAAUAUUGGUCAAUGCCCGCAAGGGUGAACCAGCCAUUCCGCGUGGAGGAUGAAGGCCCUAUGGGUUGUAAACUUCUUUUAGAUGGGAAGAAAGUGCUAGAUGUAUCUGGUACUGACGGUACCAUCAGAAUAAGCACCGGCUAACUCCGUGCCAGCAGCCGCGGUAA
rnacentral:rRNA from 1 species